UAUUCUGCCCCACGGGGAAGGAUGAGAAGCUUCAAGCGAGAGAACGUUGCCGCUGGCAAUGGCCCGAAGGCGAGGCGCUUUAGCGCCGAGUAAUCCUUCCCCCACCACUG
rnacentral:sRNA from 1 species